rnacentral:rRNA from 1 species
GGAACCUGGUUGAUCCUGCCAGUAGUCAUAUGCUUGUCUCAAAGAUUAAGCCAUGCAAGUCUAAGUUUAAGCACCUAAACGGCGAAACUGCGAAUGGCUCAUUAAAUCAGUUAUCGUAUAUUUGAUAGUACCUACUACAUGGAUAACCGUGGUAAUUCUAGAGCUAAUACAUGCUUAAAAUCCCGACUUCGGAA